UCUCUCUCUCUGUCUCUGCCUCUCCCCAGCUCUCAAAUUUUCUCUCUCUCUCUCUGUCUCAAAAAUAAAUAAACAUUUUUUAAAAAUAGAGGGAUGCACCCUUACACCAUGAUGGGAGACGCCUGGGGAGUGAGGUUCUGGAGGGGACAUUGGUGGGGAUCAGAGGACAGUGCUGAGUGAGAACCAGACAGCCGAGUGGGGAGAUGUCUAGAGAGGGCUGUUCCCUGAUGGAGCGUUGGUUCUGAGGUCUCUGUAGGCAAGCGGGGAGGUGCUGGGGGAGGAAGCAUUACAAAGCAGGAGAGAACAAGGGCCAGGUCGCUCCCAAGGGGACACAGUGGCCUAUGUCUGUCCCCACUGCACCUAGAGGAGAAGCCAGUGGCCUGUACCCACACCUGGCCCGGGACGUGGAGGUGGCCCAGCACAAUGGUGGCGACUUCCCCUUUGCCCUGAUCUUGUGCACGUUGCUCCCUUGGCCCGCCCACCCAUUUUUCCUCCCUGCAGACUGCCCUCUCCUCCCAUGAAAGUGAGUCUGACAAGCGAGGGGUACCUGGUCGUGCUUGUCAGCGGAUGGGCUUCCUCACAGGGCUGAAUCUCCACACCACGCUGUCCUUUUCACGCUUUCCUCCCCUCAUCUCAUUGCUUGUUCUCUGGCUUCUCUUCCCUGUGAGAGUGGGAGCACUUCCUGGGAGGACAGGGCCCAGUGCAUCCUGUUUAUGUCUGUACCUCCGGGAUCCGGCCUCACACCCGGCACCGAGUGCACACGUGGGACAGUGGAUAAACGAACGGGUGAACUUGUGGCUCUGCUGUUCUAGAAACCAUCUCAGGUAGCUUUGGUGACAACGUGUACUUUUCGGUGCUCGCUGCGAGGGAUAGCUUUGUAGAUGGACCAUAGUGGAUUAGACCUGCCAGCCAUUUUCAGUGGUGACUUUGUCCUGAGACGGAACUGUUGGAACGAGGAGGGCAGGAUUCAAUUCCAAGAUUCAGAAAAUUCAGUAUCACCGUGGCGUAAACCAGACAGGAGUUUAUUUCUGUCUCACAUAAACCGAGCCCGGGGGGAAGCGAUCCGCGGAAUCCUUAGGGCCCAGCCUUCCCCGACCCUCCACUUGGCCCUCGCUUGGCCCUUGACUCUCUUUCUCCUGGUCCAAGAUGGCAGCAGCCGCGUUUCAGGCAGCAGGCAGCAAGAGGGGGAAACGCAGAGAACAAAACAAAAAUGCAGCCACCGGACACUUCUGCUUACAUUCCGUUAUCUAGAACUUCUAUGGCUGCAGAAGAGGCUGGGAUGUAACCUCUAUUCUGGGCGGCCAUGUGCCCGCCCAGGUAGGGAGGCUGCAACGAUGGUUUUGUCAGGUCACCAGCAACGUUGGCCACAGUUGCGUCUGGGUAGAGGUCGCGUGUCUUCCUUCUCACUCCCUCUUUCACGUGCAGGGUGGGAACCAAGUGGAAGGUCUCAGGCCCCGUGCUCCUGUGCGGGGUCAUCGUUAGCUUUUCCCAGGAGCGGGGCAAGCUGGCCACAGCGUGCUGUGAUUGGGUUAUCUGUGUUGAAUGGCACGAGGUUGUCCACAAGGCAAAUAUCAAAUUGCAGGGAGUAGGCUGCACUUAAAUGCGCUGGGCCAAAAAAACCUAAGAAACACACAAACAAAAAAGCCACCCUAAACCCAAGGGAAAUCUGUCAGGGCUAAGAGGCAGCGGUGAGCAGGGAGGAAGGCAGUAUGAGUUCAUGGUGGGGCCACGGUUUUGCUGCGUCGUGAUUGAAAGAGCGUUUACUAUAGGGUGGGAAUUUUAAAUCUCUUUUUAAAAGCAUGAGUCUCCGGGGAGUGUGCCGGAGGCGGGAACCGCUCCCCGGAGAGCAGUUUUGUAACUACUUGUAGCUGAGUUUAUUUUGUUUCACUGAAGUAUGCCAGGCUGGACAUUUCCUCCUGUUCUCAUGCUUCUGGACUCAAGAAUGCAGAGAGCACGCUGGCCUCCGGAAAGCAUCAGCAGCAGGAUGUGAACCAGGGACUCCCCCUUCGUGUCCAGAGGGCGAAUCACCUUGCUCCUGAGCCGUCAGCGUGGGUGCGGACUGGGGGCGCCGGGGAGAAGCAGGCGCUACCGGUAAUGGAAGUGUGAUGGGCUGGCGUCUCAGCCAAAGUACACUUGAACGUGAACUGCUGGUGUUUAUUCAAGUCGACUUCCUCACGUCCUAUGUCCCGGGGGCCUGGGCCGUCCCCGUUACUGCCAUUGCUGCGAUGGUGCGGGAUCCAGCGUGCUCAAGGUGUGUGCCUCUGGGCUGGGCUGAUGCCCAGGGCCGGGCUUCCUUUCGGGAGCCGCGUCAGUUUCCCUCUCAGCCGUCACACUCCUCGGCAGGCCAGAGCGACAAAGGCAGGAGUGCGUGCAGUGUAAGUCAAUCAACGAAGCAAACAAAAUCCAGAGAAACAGCACCUGCCCUCGACUGAGCGCAUGCUGUGUUCUAGGUCCUGAAUGCCCGAGAUCUCAGCACCUCCUCAAGGCGGGGAUUGUCUUCUCACUUCGGGGGUCAGGAGAACAGGGUCGUACCAGUUGGGUGAUGUGCCUCCGGGUCUGUGUGUGAUGGGGCUUGGGGGUCAGGUGGGAUCCUCAAGCUGGGGAGCAGCCUAGCCCCAUGAAUGCUGCCAAGGGGCAUCUCUGUGGGAAAGAGGAGGCACUCUCCCUCUCGCGCAGGGAGCUCUGUGGGCUGUGGGGCGGAGCGACCUCCCACGCGGCAGCACCUGUUCCCUCCACAAACCGGCCAGCGCCGCUUUCCUGCCCUUGGGAGCAGACACUGCGGUUGACAAAGGUCGUCCGGCUUAUCCAGCCUCUGUUUUCCUGUGACAUUGAUGUUUAUGCCAAGUGGGAGAGAGACCUCAAAGUGUUUAGGCUUUAUUGUUCUGCUGAGCUAUUCAUGGGCCAAUGUAUUUCCUACUGCAUAAACCCAGACUGGACUUCGUGGACGGUGAUUACACUAAACCAACACCACAAGGACCCCACCUUACUCCCAGGUUAUGGUCAAAUAUGUGUGGAUGUUUCUGACAAGCUAUGUGUGAGACGAGUGGAGGCCCAGGAGUCGGAUCCAACUGUGUUUGUGGCUGGUACAGAGGAAGGUGAGAUGUAUGCAGGAAUUUCACGCUCCUUCACUCUUGAUAGGUGCUGCUAGGAAUCUGGGUUAGAGUCAAAUUUGUGUUGGAUGCUCUGGGUGAACUCCUUAACUAUUUGUUUGUGGUACUGCUAAAUAUUUCCAGAUGUCAGCACCACACAUAUGCCACGAUGCUGUGAUUAAAGCGCUCAGUGCUGAAACUCUUUUUUUUUUUUUUUUUUUAAUAAGAAAAAUACAUAAGGAGAAAUUAAAUCUCCCUUUCUGUCUGGAACCCACCAUACAGAUCCUGCAUUAUUUACCAACCACAAGAGUUUUUCCUUGGCUGGUACAUGCGUCUCUCCUAGUGUUUUUUCCAGCUGCUCAUACAGACUUUGGCAAAGUUACUCACUAGCUCCGAAUACCAGGAUUACCCCAUUCUCGUUUAGCAGUUCAGGGAUUUGGCACCUGGAGGAAGAGCAAAGGCGAUUUCAGAAUCCCACUAAUUCCCCAAAUGGAACUAAGUGAUAGUCCCAGCCUCAUGGGGUUGUGUGAAGACGGAAGAGGGCAUUGCGUGGAAAGUAUCGACUACAGUGCCUGGUACCCACCGUGGUCUCAGGCAAGGCCAGUUCUUUUCCUGAGGAGGGUCACGUGAUACCCGACCAACAGAUUUUCACAUCGGCUGGGGCGGGGACGUUGGAGCCUCUGGUGUGGGCUUGUCUGUAGUGGAGACAUUGAUCGAAAAUCUUGGGAGUGUUAUGCAAGAAAAGAAACAGGCAGAAAGAACAGUAGUUCUGGAGCUGAAAGUUUGAAUCUCAGACUUCUCUCUUCCUCCCUCAGUGACCUUAGACAAGGCACUCACAGUUGACCCUUGAACAACACAAGGGUUAGGGGCACUGACCCUCUCGCAGUUGAAUAUCUGUGUAUAAUUUUUGACUGCUCCCCAGACUUACUACUAAUAGCCUACUGUUGACCGGAAGUCUUACCGAUGACACAAACAGUCGAUUAGCAUAUAUUUUGUAUACGAUAUGUAUUAUAUACUGUAUUC